rnacentral:tRNA from 1 species
GCCCAGGUGGCGGAAUGGUAUACGCGUUAGUCUCAAAAACUAAUGAGCCAAAAGCUCGUGUGGGUUCGACUCCCACCCUGGGCA